GAUUUAGCCAUCGCUGUUGGAUGACCCUCCAUUGCCUGUCCAAUGGGCAGUGUUCCAUUCCGGAUUUAAAGGUGCUCAGAUCAGCAUAGCAGGUGAGGGACAAUGAGGACAAGCUUCCUUCUGGAGCUCGGUGCAGACACAGCUGGAUGUAAGGACCAUCCGAGUGUUACAUGGGGACUCAAACCUGCUCGGAGAGACAGAGCAAGCCUCCCACCGUCCUGUGCGUCCGAGGAGACCUUAAGAUGCCCUGGGCCACGGUGCAAACCAG
rnacentral:lncRNA from 1 species